CUAUAAAAGCAAGAACAGACAAGGUCCCGUCAGUGAGCACAUGGAUGCGGUGAAGAAGAAUUGGACCUUCCUGUGAAGUGAUCAUUUUGGGGACAUCUCUAAACCUCGUCUUGACAUCAUGAAGAAUUUGAUUGUGGGAUUUUGCAUUGUGGCACUCCUGGCAAGGGUUCAAGUCACAAUGACUCAGUCCACACCCGACGCUACCACAAAUACCCCAACGCAAACCAAAUCCAUUCCAGCUACAAUGUCAUCGGCUGUGACAAGCUCCAUGACAAGCUCCAUGACAAACACCGGAUCUUCUGUCACGACCUCCAUGGCAACCACCAGACCUACUGCCAUGACCUCCAUGGCAACCACCAGACCUACUGUCAUGACCUCCAUGGCAACCACCCGACCUCCUGUCACGACCUCCAUGGCAACCACCCGACCUCCUGUCACGACCUCCAUGGCAACCACCCGACCUACUGUCAUGACCUCCAUGGCAACCACCCGACCUCCUGUCACGACCUCCAUGGCAACCACCCGACCUCCUGUCACGACCUCCAUGGCAACCACCCGACCUACUGUCAUGACCUCCAUGGCAACCCCCCGACCUCCUGUCACGACCUCCAUGGCAACCACCCGACCUACUGUCAUGACCUCCAUGGCAACCACCCGACCUUCUCCUGACAUGACCUCUAUGGCAGCCACUGAAUCUCCUCCUGACACGACCUCUAUGGCAACCGACGAAUCUCCGACUGACAUGACCUCCACGGCAUCAACAAUGCCUCCUAUUGUCACCACCACAACAAUGCCAACCAAAACAACCACGCACAGUCGAGGAAGUGGAGUAGUACGUUCGCUGCAGUUGCUCGGGGUCUCACUCUUUCUUAGUGUCGUUUGCACAUGAACAAUCAAAAAGCAAAAUCUGCCAAAUUGAUUUAAUCAUAUGAUUUAUUGUUUGUGCUCGAUUUCAUUGCACUUGUGGUACAAAGAUGAUUAAACAAUUUAGAUUCUGAUUACGUUUGUGAGUUUUGAUAUGAUAUUAGAAAUUAUUUAAAUGCUCCUGUUUAUAAAUAUAUAACAUUUGCGCAGUGUUUUCUUUUUGUUUUCGCAUAGUUGUGAAUUGCAAUAUCCUCAAACUAUUACAUAGAAAACUUAAAGUUUUACACUCGAUAAAAUUGAAUCAAAGCAUCACUUGUCAAACCAUAAAUAAUAGAAUGGAUCAGAAAAAUUUCAAUGGUCAAGGAGUAACUGCUAUUUGAGAAAUAAAAUAUUUCUUAAAAGUUGAAUGGACUGUUUACUUCCUUUACUGGAAUUGAAAUUAAAACAGACACUGCU